rnacentral:rRNA from 1 species
CCCCCAGCAAGAACAUAAGUAUUGGGGGUAAUGCCUGCCCAGUGACACUGUUAAACGGCCGCGGUAUCCUAACCGUGCAAAGGUAGCGUAAUCACUUGUCUUUUAAAUAAAGACUAGAAUGAAUGGCCAAACGAGGCUCUACCUGUCUCUUACAAAUAAUCAGUGAAAUUGAUCUUCCCGUGCAAAAGCGGGGAUAACACUAUAAGACGAGAAGACCCUGUGGAACUUCAAAUAUAAAAUCAACUAUCACCAACACCCACCCACGGGCCUUAUACCAAAUAGCACCUGAUUUUUAUUUUCGGUUGGGGCGACCUCGGAACAAAACAAAACCUCCGAAAAAUAAAAAACCCUUUAAACCUAGAACAACAGUUCAAAGUGCUUCCGGCAAAACGAUCCAAUACACUUGAUCAACGAACCAAGCUACCCCAGGGAUAACAGCGCAAUCCCAUCCUAGAGUCCCUAUCGACGAUGGGGUUUACGACCUCGAUGUUGGAUCAGGACAUCCUAAUGGUGUAGCCGAUAUUAAGGGUUCGUUUGUUCAACGAUUA